rnacentral:rRNA from 1 species
UAGGGAAUCUUCGGCAAUGGGGGGAACCCUGACCGAGCAACGCCGCGUGAGUGAAGAAGGUUUUCGGAUCGUAAAGCUCUGUUGUUAAGGAAGAACGAGUGUGAGAAUGGAAAGUUCAUGCUGUGACGGUACUUAACCAGAAAGGGACGGCUAACUACGUGCCAGCAGCCGCGGUAAUACGUAGGUCCCGAGCGUUGACCGGAUUUAUUGGGCGUAAAGCGAGCGCAGGCGGUUAGAAAAGUCUGAAGUGAAAGGCAGUGGCUCAACCAUUGUAGGCUUUGGAAACUGUUUAACUUGAGUGCAGAAGGGGAGAGUGGAAUUCCAUGUGUAGCGGUGAAAUGCGUAGAUAUAUGGAGGAACACCGGUGGCGAAAGCGGCUCUCUGGUCUGUAACUGACGCUGAGGCUCGAAAGCGUGGGGAGCAAACAGG